AUAUCAAUAAGCGGAGGAAAAGAAACCAACAGGGAUUGCCUCAGUAACGGCGAGUGAAGCGGCAACAGCUCAAAUUUGAAAUCUGUCUCUUUUAGAGUCCGAGUUGUAAUUUGUAGAAGAUGCUUCGGGUGUGGUCCCGGUCUAAGUUCCUUGGAACAGGACGUCAUAGAGGGUGAGAAUCCCGUAUGUGACUGGGUGCCUUCGCCUAUGUGAAGCUCUUUCGACGAGUCGAGUUGUUUGGGAAUGCAGCUCUAAAUUGGUGGUAAAUUCCAUCUAAAGCUAAAUACCGGCCAGAGACCGAUAGCGCACAAGUA
rnacentral:rRNA from 1 species